CUGGAAACGGAUGCUAAUACCCGAUAUGCUGUGGAGUGAAAGGAAUUUCGCCUAAAGAUGAUCUUGCGUCUGAUUAGCUAGAUAGUGUGGUAAUGGCGCACUAUGGCGACGAUCAGUAGCUGGUCUGAGAGGAUGGACAGCCACAUUGGAACUGAGACACGGUCCAAACUCCUACGGGAGGCAGCAGUGGGGAAUUUUCCGCAAUGGGCGAAAGCCUGACGGAGCGACGCUGCGUGAAGGAUGACGGCCUGCGGGUUGUAAACUUCUUUUCUCGAAGAAGAAUAAAUGACGGUAUUCGAGGAAUAAGCAUCGGCUAACUCUGUGCCAGCAGCCGCGGUAAGACAGAGGAUGCAAGUGUUAUUCGGAUUGAUUGGGCGUAAAGCGUCUGUAGGCUGUAUAGAAAGUCUUUUGUUAAAUACCUCGGCUCAACCGAGAUCCAGCAAAGGAAACUUCUAUACUUGAGGUAAGUAGAGGUACAGGGAAUUCCCGGUGGAGCGGUGAAAUGCGUAGAUAUCGGGAGGAACACCAAUAUGGCGAAGGCACUGUACUGGGCUUUACCUGACGCUCAGAGACGAAAGCUAAAGGAGUGAUUAGGAUUAGAUACCCUAGUAAUUUUAGCCGUAAACGAUGAAAACUCACCCG
rnacentral:rRNA from 1 species